GGAGAAGCACCACCACCUGUUCCACCACAAGGAGGGCGAGGACUUCCAGCCCGCCGCUGACGGCGGCGUCGACACGUACGGGUACUCGACCGAGACGGUGGUGACCGCCACCGGCAACGACGGCGAGUACGAGCGGAUCACCAAGGAGGAGAAGCACCACAAGCACAAGGAGCACCUCGGCGAGAUGGGCGCAGCCGCGGCCGGAGCCUUCGCCCUCGUACGCCCUCUCUCAUCGUAACUAGGAGUAGUAAUUACCAUACGAAUAUAUAGCUCUUGUCGGGCUUGGCCUAAUGGAUUGCGUGUCUACGUGCAGUACGAGAAGCACGAGGCGAAGAAGGACCCGGAGCACGCGCACAAGCACAAGAUCGAGGAGGAGGUGGCUGCCGCCGCAGCCGUCGGCGCCGGCGGCUUCGUCUUCCACGAGCACCACGAGAAGAAGCAGGACCACAAGGAGGCCAAGGAGGCCAGCGGCGAGAAGAAGCACCACCACUUCGGCUAGGUCGCCGUCGACGUGCGGUGGCCGGCCUCGCCGCCGGCCGUGCGUGUGCCUACGUUACGUGCGUUCCAUAAGUGAGAGAGGCUGGGACGUGGGCCUGGUCUCGUGCUCGCCUGUGCGUGAUUUUCUCUGCGUGCUAGCUUCCGCGUGCUUAAUAAGUGGGGUUGCUGUUUCUUGCAGUGGCUCUCACACCUCUUGCGUCGGUGUGUGUGUCGUGUGUCGGUGUGUGUUUCAAUUCUACCGGCGCCCUGUAUUUGUAAUUCCACUUUAUUAUGCAAGUCCUCACGAAACUUUUGUGGCCCAUCUUCUCAAA
rnacentral:lncRNA from 1 species